rnacentral:rRNA from 1 species
UACGGAGGGGGCUAGCGUUGUUCGGAAUUACUGGGCGUAAAGGGCGCGUAGGCGGCGCGAUAAGUUGGGCGUGAAAGGCCCGGGCUCAACCCGGGGACUGCGCUUGAUACUGUCGCGCUGUGAGUCCGGGGAGGAGGAUGGCGGAAUUCCCAGUGUAGAAGGUGAAAUUCGUAGAUAGUUGGGAAGAACACCGGUGGCGAAGGCGGCCAACUGGACGAAUACUGACGCUGAGACUCGAAAGCGUGGGGAGCAAACAGG